GAUGAACGCUGGCGGCGUGCCUAAUACAUGCAAGUCGAGCGAAUGGAUUAAGAGCUUGCUCUUAUGAAGUUAGCGGCGAACGGGUGAGUAACACGUGGGUAACCUGCCCAUAAGACUGGGAUAACUCCGGGAAACCGGGGCUAAUACCGGAUAACAUUUUGAACCGCAUGGUUCGAAAUUGAAAGGCGGCUUCGGCUGUCACUUAUGGAUGGACCCGCGUCGCAUUAGCUAGUUGGUGAGGGAACGGCUAACCAAAGCAACGAUGCGUAGCCGACCUGAGAGGGUGAUCGGCCACACUGGGACUGAGACACGGCCCAGACUCCUACGGGAGGCAGCAGUAGGGAAUCUUCCGCAAUGGACGAAAGUCUGACGGAGCAACGCCGCGUGAGGGAUGAAGGCUUUCGGGUCGUAAAACUCUGUUGUUAGGGAAGAACAAGUGCUAGUUGAAUAAGCUGGCACCUUGACGGUACCUAACCAGAAAGCCACGGCUAACUACGUGCCAGCAGCCGCAGUAA
rnacentral:rRNA from 1 species